rnacentral:rRNA from 1 species
GUGGGGAAUAUUGGACAAUGGGCGAAAGCCUGAUCCAGCCAUGCCGCGUGUGUGAAGAAGGUCUUCGGAUUGUAAAGCACUUUAAGUUGGGAGGAAGGGCAGUAAGUUAAUACCUUGCUGUUUUGACGUUACCGACAGAAUAAGCACCGGCUAACUUCGUGCCAGCAGCCGCGGUAAUACGAAGGGUGCAGGCGUUAAUCGGAAUUACUGGUCGUAAAGCGCGCGUAGGUGGUUUUGUAAGUUGGAGGUGAAAUCCCCGGGCUCAACCUGGGAACUGCCUCCAAAACUGCAUGACUAGAGUACGGUAGAGGGUAGUGGAAUUUCCUGUGUAGCGGUGAAAUGCGUAGAUAUAGGAAGGAACACCAGUGGCGAAGGCGACUACCUGGACUGAUACUGACACUGAGGUGCGAAAGCGUGGGGAGCAAACAGGAUUAGAAACCCGAGUAGUCC